CCCGGAGAUGGGCACUGAGACAAGGGCCCAGGCCCUACGGGGCGCACCAGGCGAGAAACUUAGCAAUGCGGGAAACCGUGACUGGGCCAUCCCGAGUGCCAGCCGCUAAGGUUGGCUUUUCCCCAGAGCAAGCACCUGGGGGAAUAAGCGGGGGGCAAGACUGGUGUCAGCCGCCGCGGUAAUACCAGCUCCGCGAGUGGUCGGGACGAUUAUUGAGCCUAAAGCGCCCGUAGCCUGCCCCUGCGUGUUUCGUGUUAAAUCCAACGGCUUAACCGUUGGGCCGCAUGGAAUACUGCAGGGCUGGGGAGCGGAAGAGGCCAGGGGUACUCCCGGGGUAGGGGCGAAAUCCUAUAAUCCCGGGAGGACGACCAGUGGCGAAGGCGCCUGGCUAGGACGCGUCCGACGGUGAGGGGCGAAAGCUGGGGGAGCGAACCGGAUUAGAUACCCGGGUAGUCCCAGCUGUAAACGAUGCGGACUGGGUGUUGGCAUGGCUUCGCGCCGUGCCAGUGCCUCAGGGAAGCCGUUAAGUCCGCCGCUUGGGGAGUACGGUCGCAAGACUGAAACUUAAAGGAAUUGGCGGGGGAGCACCACAAGGGGUGAAGCCUGCGGCUCAAUUGGAGUCAACUCCGGGAACCUUACCAGGUGCGACAGCAGAAUGAGGGCCAAGCUGACGACUUUGCCCGACACGCUGAGAGGUGGCGCAUGGCCGUCGCCAGCUCGUGCCGUGAGGUGUCUGGUUAAGUCCAGGAACGAGCGAGACCCUUACCUUUAGUUGCUACCGCGAAAGCGGGCACACUAGAGGGACCGCCACCGUUAAGGUGGAGGAAGGAGGGGGCAACGGCAGGUCAGCAUGCCCCGAAUCACCUGGGCCGCACGCGGGCUGCAAUGGUGGAGACAAUGGGAUCCGAACCCGAAAGGGGGAGGUAAUCCUUGAAACUCCACCGUAGUUGGGAUCGAGGGCUGCAACCCGCCCUCGUGAACCUGGAAUCCCCAGUAAUCGCGUGUCAUCAUCGCGCGGUGAACAAGUCCCCGCUCCUU
rnacentral:rRNA from 1 species